CUUUGUCUUUUUCUUUUAUUUUCUUUUGAGCGAUUGUGCGAACAUAGCAUAGCACGCACUAUGCCUUCUGUGUUGUAGCUGCCUGGCCAGGGCGACUGGCGGAUAAGGUCUUGUGCGUGGCCUCGAGGCUUAAAAGUAGCAGUGGGGCUUUGUGAAGGACAAAAUGGCGAUGGCGGGCCGUGUAGGUCCCCCUUCCUAUGAUGAGGACCUUUUCACAGACCUGUACUGAGCUCCGUGAGGAUAAAUAACUCUGAGGAGAUGGGCCCUGCAAGCCUCUUGCUUAGCCGUCUGUUCAGAAAAUAGCGUUUUCGAAAUGCCCUGAGUUGACCUAAUGUCUUAUUGGGCUCCUGUCUGCAGGAUUUACGCGCACGUUGGAACCGAAGAGAGCUCUGUUGUUGCAAUGUUCAGCCCACAAGAGCUUACUGGUGAAGGAAUGGGACAAGACCCAUCUUUAUGCAAAGCCAGCGUUACAGUAAUGUUCCAGGUAGGUGUACAUGGUUUAUGCUCUUACAGAGGAGACCUUGUAGAUAACCACUCCAUGAUGAACACAAAAUGACAAGCAUAUGGCUGAACUUUCAAGUGAUGUCAUCUUACUACUGAGAAGUGAGAGAGAGGUCUUAAGGGGUCUUUGAAUGACUAUUUUUAGGUACAUAAAAUGCUUUCCUCUGUUGUCUACAGCAUCUCAUAAUCUAUCCUGGGGAAUUCAGCUGCCUCCCAGGGUGAAUACAGGUAAUUAUCCAAAUUGGUGUAUGUCAUCUUUGUAAAUGUUCAAGAAAACAAGUGGCCGGCGGAACAAUGUUUUUUGGCGCCUUCCAUCUUGUUCCUCUUGAAAUGAUUUUCUGGGGAGGGAGAUCGCAACCCGGUACUACAGUUCUUGUAAGGGUGUGCUGUUACCCUCAUCCAUAUAUCGAUCACGUUACUGUCAGAUGAUUUGAAUUGAUAAGCUGAUGUUCUGUGAGGUACAAAAGUUAAUAGCAUGUUAGAGUUCUGAUGGCAGUUGUUGUUUAUGAAUAAGCUUCAUUCCAUCCUAAUACCUUAAAAUAACUAAUUUGCUUUCCUUUCCAGGUAUUCCUGAUGACAGUCUGCCUCUAUCUUACAGUAAGUUGUUUUUCGAAUUCUAUGGGCCUAUUAUCUAAUAGAUAACUUAGCCAUUUUGAUAUUUGUUACCAAAGCCUGCUUAACCCAUAAAGUUUUCUGGUUCCUCUUGUUCUCUGUAGUGAUGUUUCUAGAUAGAUGCCCACUGAUAUAUGCCCCUUUUUUCUCAGAUAGAUGCCCACUGAUCUGCCCAGGGUCAGACGAAUGCUUGUCAGUUGUAGCUUUCCAGGAUUCUGCUCCAAUGAGGAGGAAACAUCCUGCCUUACCCCUGUUUUAGCCUGGGAACCAGUAAUUGUGAACUCACCAGGGUUAACAUGAAGAGGGCAUGAGAGCUUAUUCCAUAAGGAAUUGUCUGAGACAUUUGGUUACCUUUUCUUAGUUUGUCCAUUAGCAACCGUAACUAAAAUAGUUUUGGCUGUUUGGGAUAAUUAGCUAAUUGAAUGAUUUUUUGAUUCAGGAGCAGCUUGUUGCUAUAUACCAUUGAAAAGCCUUCAGAGCUGAGAGGUUAGUUGAUAUUUUUUGUUCCUUACAGCUUAUGCCACCAAGUAGGCAGUUUCUAUGAUGAAUCAAACUAGCUCACUAUGACCGACAGUGAAAAUACAUGAACACCUGAGAAACUGGAGAACGCAGGGAGUGGGGGGUAACCAUGUCUGAGGAAUCUUUCACCCACAGCUUUGUUUUUCUCUAGGUACUACUAACCAAUAACCUGCUUGGCUCAAAGGGCCAGCACCUUCUCUCUAAAGCCCAAGAGGAGUUUGAGGUAAAUGGCUUUGCAAUAGUUACCAUCAAUGGCUGCUAUAUAAAAUUUUCUGUGAUUUUUGUGUGUGAUAGCACUGUGGUCUGGGUGAAUGUACACAGACAUAACUGGCUUAACCCAAAGUCUUUGAUCUCCUGAACCACCAGUGAUGAAUUGCUGCUCACCAGUGAUGAGUUGAAUACCGCCCCAGUCUGAUCAAUGUGUGACUGAAAGGUAUUUUCUGAGCUGUGAGCCUGCCUUCCAGUGACAUGUUCUAAAAAUUGCAAGUUAUUUGAGGAGGCUUUACAGCCAAUAGGAAGUUCUUGGGCUAAGUAGUGUUUCCUAUAAAAUGUGCCCUGAAACUUCUUUCUGCCAAGCAAUAGAUACAAUUGAGAGAUUGUAAAAUGUGACAUAGAAUGAAAGUCUCUCAAGACUACAUUUUUCUUUCUUGAUUUUGCAGGAAAACUAGGUGUCUGUGUUCACUCCAGGCUGAAGUUACAGGUCUGAGCAAAUAAGGUGUAUAAAAAAUGGAAUCUGUCUUGGAGGACAUCAGAAGGUGAAUUUUCCAAGUUCUUGGACAACCUAGCUGUUGAAAAGCUUUCUGGGUUUGGGGGGUAUUUCAGAUGUACCUUAAAGUGUUAGCAGACACAGAUUAAGACACUGGGAGCCAAUGAAACAGCAGUUGAGGGUUUGCUGUGUAUCACAUUUCUGUAUUUUAUCACCCCCUUCCUGCAACAUUAUUUAUCUGGAAUCUACCUGCCCUUUUGUUUUUUAGAUACAAGGGCUUGGUUUUGUUACCCAGGCUGGUUUCAAGGCCAUAGCUUUAAGAGAUCCUCUCACCACAGAUUUCCAAAGUGCUGGGAUUGCAGGUGUGAUUCAUGGCACCCAGACUUUGCUGCCUUUCUUACAUGAUCCAGGCCCAGAACCCAAACUCAGGCACUGUAUAGAUGACCACUUUCGUAAACUACUGACCUAGCUUGUUGCCAAUUGUUGAUUGAACUUCCCAUAACUCCACUUCGUGUCUGUUCCUCUGUAUACAGCCACCUUCUGUUCCCGUCAUGAGCCUUUAGGUCUCCAUUUGCAUAUUGCAAAUACUAUGUUCCAUGUAGGUAGCUCAUUCAGGGCCUUGCUCUUCACUUCAAAAAAGGUUC
ensembl:lncRNA SNHG1 small nucleolar RNA host gene 1